CUGAUCGGAAAAGACCACGCGCUGAGUUUAAGCAUAUCACUAAUCGCAGGAGAAGAAACUAACGAGGAUU
rnacentral:rRNA from 1 species